UGGGGAAUCUUGCACAAUGGGCGAAAGCCUGAUGCAGCGACGCCGCGUGGGGGAUGAAGCAUUUCGGUGUGUAAACCCCUUUCGACCGGGAAGAAUGCCUCGCAAGAGGACUGACGGUACCGGUAUAAGAAGCCCCGGCUAACUACGUGCCAGCAGCCGCGGUAAGACGUAGGGGGCCAGCGUUGUUCGGAAUUACUGGGUGUAAAGGGUUCGUAGGCGGUGCGGCAAGUUGGGAGUGAAAUCUCUGGGCUCAACCCAGAGGCUGCUUCCGAAACUGCUGUGCUUGAGUGUGGGAGAGGCGCGUGGAAUUGCAGGUGUAGCGGUGAAAUGCGUAGAUAUCUGCAGGAACACCCGUGGCGAAAGCGGCAUUCUGGACUGUAACUGACACUGAGAGACGAAAGCCAGGGGAGCAAACAGG
rnacentral:rRNA from 1 species